GGGGAUAUAGCUCAGUUGGUAGAGUGCGUACCUUGCAUGCACAAGGCCCUGGGUUCGUUCCCCAGCACCACA
rnacentral:tRNA from 1 species